GUUGCGUCUAGUGGGUUAUGUGCCACUGAUCCAGCAGUGAGGUGUGGGUGGCUCACGCACAGGGGCUGUAUGUACACAUACCUGUGGUACACGUGUGCACAUAGCAGGGCUGUGGGUAUGCAGGUUAUAUGUGGUGUGUGUUCACAGUUGUGUGUGCUGGUCUUUAAGUGCCACGAGAGCAGGGAUCAAGUCCUCCUUGCUGGCUGCUGUACCCCCAGCACCUAGCUGGGUUCCUGGCUGGGUGGAUGGGUGUGGAUUAUAUAAAUGUGGGGUGAAUUUAUGUCUGUGUGAUAGGUACCUGGGAGCUACGCGAUGCAUAUAUGAAAGGAGAUGGAAAAUGCAGAGAAGGCAGAGUCUGAAAUUCUGGAGCUGCAGUUGAAUAACCAGAAGACCCUAGCCAAGUCACUUCACCUCUCUGAGCCUCAGUUUCCUCAUCUGUAAAAUGGGCGUGAGGUUCUCUUACAGGGUAAUGGAGAUGGUCAAAUGAGAAAAGAAACAUGAAAGUGUUAGUAAACUGUAAACUCCUGAUUAUGUAUGUGUGUGUGUAUAAAC
rnacentral:lncRNA from 1 species